rnacentral:rRNA from 1 species
CCAGCCACACUGGAACUGAGACACGGUCCAGACUCCUACGGGAGGCAGCAGUGGGGAAUCUUGCGCAAUGGGCGAAAAGCCUGACGCAGCGACGCCGCGUGGGUGACGAAGGCCUUCGGGUUGUAAAGCCCUGUGGGGUAGGAACGAACUGGCAUCGGGCUAAUAUCCCGGUGUCUUGACGGUACUGCCUUAGCAAGCAUCGGCUAACUCUGUGCCAGCAGCCGCGGUAAGACAGAGGAUGCGAACGUUGCUCGGAUUUACUGGGCGUAAAGCGCGUGUAGGCGGUCUCGUUAGUCGGGUGUGAAGCCCCGGGCUCAACCCGGGAAGUGCACCCGAUACUGCGAGACUGGGGUACUGAAGAGGAGAGCGGAAUUCCCGGUGUAGAGGUGAAAUUCGUAGAUAUCGGGAGGAACACCAGUGGCGAAGGCGGCUCUCUGGGCAGAUACCGACGCUGGAGACGCGAAAGCGUGGGGAGCAAAAC